rnacentral:rRNA from 1 species
GUCAGAGGGGGCAAGUGUUAUUCUGCUUGAAUAGGCGUAAAGGGUGUGUAGGCUGGUAAGUUGGCGGGCGAAAAAGGCUGUGACAGGUAAAUUGCAGUUGGUGCCCGAACUAAUUACCUUGUAUUGCGGAGAAGUCGGGGGAAUUUUGUGUUUAGAAUAAUUAUGCGCUGGAAACACAUAGGAAUGCCGGAGAUGAAGAUGCCUGGCUGUACGCAAUAGACGCUGAGAUGCGAAGGUUCGGGGAGCAAAUGGG